rfam:Mustela putorius furo unplaced genomic scaffold scaffold00033, whole genome shotgun sequence.
AGCUUUGCUCAGUGGCAGUAUCAUAGCCAAUGGGGUUUGCUCGAGGCACGAUUAUUGCUAAUUGAUUUUCAGACUUGUUAAUUCUUAAGGUGAAAGGCAUAAAAAUUUUUUACUAAAAUUUUGUAAAUAGUGUCAGAUG